ACGAAAUGUUAUUAAACGUAUUAACAGUGUGUGUAUCCAUUUUCAUUGUCGUGCUUCAUCAGUGUUCUGAUAAAACAAUUCAUUUUGCCAUUGUUGCAGAGAAGCAAUCACAAAACACUAGAUUUCCGAAACCGCAGUUAAAUUACCUUUAAUUGUGGCAAGUUGAUUUUUAUUUUUGGAUUAUUUUUUUCAAGCGAUAUCGAUCCUUCACAUUAACAAAAUGUCCAGUUUCAAGCCGAUUGACGGUUCCAAGGAAGAAUUCCGCAAGUACCUAGACCGCAAGGGCGUGCUGGAUGCUAUCACCAAGGUUCUGAUCAAGUGCAACACGGACCGGCCGGACAACGCGAUCGAGUUCCUACUGGAGAAUCUUGGCGAAAAGGUCAAGGACAAGCAUACAAUCGCGUGCCUGGAAAACGAUCUGACCGAUGCCAGGAAUGAAAUCGAGGCGCUCAAACGGAAGGUUGAAUCGCUCCAGAUUGCCUCCGCCGUGGCCACUGCGCCUAGCGCUGGAAUCAGCAACAGAAGUUCCCCGGCGGACGAAGGUGCGGCAUCGGACAGUGUUGUGAGCGAGGAAGCCAAGUCUGUUGCUCUUGUGGUGGAUACUGUGUCCAGUCAGGGUCAAGAGAUGCCCGCGGGAGAUGCGAAGGGCGAGCAGAGCGCGACUGAGCCAACCGAGCCGGUGCCUAAGCAGCAGACUCCACAAUAGGGUGGAUGCUACUGAAAGACACUUUAGUUUUAUCUGAAUCGUCCAGAUAUAUCUAGUACUAAAGAAUGAAUAAAUUCCUGCUAUAAUAAACGGUCCUAUAAACAUAUAAAACAUUCAACUCCCGUGUAUUGCAGCAUCGAUUUCAAUAAACUUAUAAUUCUAGUCGUAGAAAUGUCGUGAAAUCAUCUACUUUGGACCUUACGUACCGAAAACAGCUGGUCCCAUAAAGUUAUAACGACGGACAAAGAGAUGGUAGUUAUUUCAAGGAGAAACUUAAAUUAUACUGUCUAAAUAUACGAAAAAUAAUAAUAGGGAAAA